AUUGAACGCUGGCGGCAGGCCUAACACAUGCAAGUCGAACGGUAGCACAGAGAGCUUGCUCUCGGGUGACGAGUGGCGGACGGGUGAGUAAUGUCUGGGAAACUGCCUGAUGGAGGGGGAUAACUACUGGAAACGGUAGCUAAUACCGCAUAAUGUCGCAAGACCAAAGAGGGGGACCUUCGGGCCUCUUGCCAUCGGAUGUGCCCAGAUGGGAUUAGCUAGUAGGUGGGGUAAUGGCUCACCUAGGCGACGAUCCCUAGCUGGUCUGAGAGGAUGACCAGCCACACUGGAACUGAGACACGGUCCAGACUCCUACGGGAGGCAGCAGUGGGGAAUAUUGCACAAUGGGCGCAAGCCUGAUGCAGCCAUGCCGCGUGUAUGAAGAAGGCCUUCGGGUUGUAAAGUACUUUCAGCGAGGAGGAAGGCAUUGUGGUUAAUAACCGCAGUGAUUGACGUUACUCGCAGAAGAAGCACCGGCUAACUCCGUGCCAGCCGCCGCGGUAA
rnacentral:rRNA from 1 species